GAUGAAGAACGUAGUGAAAUGCGAUAAGUAAUGUGAAUUGCAGAAUUCAGUGAAUCAUCGAAUCUUUGAACGCACAUUGCGCCCCUUGGUAUUCCGAGGGGCAUGCCUGUUCGAGCGUCAUUUCAACACUCAAGCACAGCUUGGUCUUGGGCUUCGCCGCUAACCCGGCGGGUCUUAAAAUCAGUGGCGGUGCCGUCGGGCCCUGAGCGCAGUAAUCUCUCUCGCUAUAGGGUCCCGGCGGAUGCUGGCCAGUAACCCCCAAUUUUCUAUGGUUGACCUCGGAUCAGGUAGGGAUACCCGCUGAACUUAAGCAUAUCAAUAAGCGGAGGA
rnacentral:misc_RNA from 1 species